rnacentral:rRNA from 1 species
AACGAACGCUGGCGGCGCGCCUAAUACAUGCAAGUCGAGCGAGAAGGUGUAGCAAUACACUUGUAAAGCGGCGAACGGGUGAGGAAUACAUGGGUAAUCUACCAUCGAGUGGGGAAUAACCAGCCGAAAGGUUGGCUAAUACCGCGUACGCUUCCGAGUCUUCGGGCUUGGAAGGAAAGCCGCACUGUGAGUGCGGCGCUCUUUGAUGAGCUCAUGUCCUAUCAGCUUGUUGGUAGGGUGACGGCCUACCAAGGCUUUGACGGGUAGCUGGUCUGAGAGGACGAUCAGCCACACUGGCACUGCGACACGGGCCAGACUCCUACGGGAGGCAGCAGUAAGGAAUAUUGCGCAAUGGGCGAAAGCCUGACGCAGCGACGCCGCGUGGGGGAUGAAGGUCUUCGGAUUGUAAACCCCUUUCGGGUAGGGAAGAUGGAGCGAGCAAUACGUUCGGUACGGUACCGUCCCAGAAGCAGCCAC